rnacentral:misc_RNA from 1 species
AAGUAUUCUUCGGUGCAGCCAGCGCUUCCACAGCGCGGCAGCCCAAACCUUACACACUGUGAUUAGUUUUUUUACUAUUUACUUUGGCUGCGCAAGUGGCCAAAGGUCUUAAACACAAAGAUUUAUAUCUUUUUUACAAAAUUUAGUCAAUGAAGUUUUAAUACUAUAAUCUUCA